GACAGAGGGGGCAAGCGUUGCUCGGAAUUACUGGGCGUAAAGGGCGCGUAGGCGGGAUGGCAAGUCGGUCGUGAAAUCCCUCGGCUCAACCGAGGAACGUCGAUCGAUACUGCUGUUCUUGAGGAUUGCAGAGGAGACUGGAAUUCCCGGUGUAGCGGUGAAAUGUGUAGAGAUCGGGAGGAACACCAGUGGCGAAGGCGGCUACCUGGACCAGCACUGACACUGAGGCACGAAAGCGUGGGGAGCAAACAGG
rnacentral:rRNA from 1 species